UGUAAAAACCUGCAAUGCGAGAAAGUUGGAAAAGUGGCAUAAUCUCUGCUUCCUGGGAUUUUGUGGUGAGAAGUAAGAAAUCUGGGAAGGGAAGAUUCUUUCCUCUGUUGAACUGAUGAAAUUGAUCAUGAGUAGGCCAUCUACGAUCCCAAAAAGAUAUUUUGCAAGACUUGGAUUAACCAUAUGAUAUGGUUUUGAAACCCAAAGUAUACAGCCAAAUACAAUACUAGAUGAAAAGCCCCAACGUAUAAUGCCCGAGGAAUCUUUCCACAUGAGGGGACAACUAAUUGGAAGGAAAAAAAAAACUGUAUGCUCUCCUAUCGUACCAACACUUACUUGUGACUCUUCCACCCCUAUUUGUAACCACAUUGAUUUAUUUUUUCUAUGUUCAAUUACAUGCUCAUGUCGGGAAAAUUUUUUUCCC